rnacentral:rRNA from 1 species
AGUGAACGCUGGCGGUAGGCCUAACACAUGCAAGUCGAACGGCAGCACAGUAAGAGCUUGCUCUUACGGGUGGCGAGUGGCGGACGGGUGAGGAAUACAUCGGAAUCUAUUUUUCGUGGGGGGUAACGUAGGGAAACUUACGCUAAUACCGCAUACGACCUACGGGUGAAAGCAGGGGAUCUUCGGACCUUGCGCGAUUGAAUGAGCCGAUGUCGGAUUAGCUAGUUGGCGGGGUAAAGGCCCACCAAGGCGACGAUCCGUAGCUGGUCUGAGAGGAUGAUCAGCCACACUGGAACUGAGACACGGUCCAGACUCCUACGGGAGGCAGCAGUGGGGAAUAUUGGACAAUGGGCGCAAGCCUGAUCCAGCCAUACCGCGUGGGUGAAGAAGGCCUUCGGGUUGUAAAGCCCUUUUGUUGGGAAAGAAAAGCAGCAGGUUAAUACCCCGCUGUUCUGACGGUACCCAAAGAAUAAGCACCGGCUAACUUCGUG